rnacentral:rRNA from 1 species
GGGUUGUGAGGUUAAGCGACUAAGCGUACACGGUGGAUGCCCUGGCAGUCAGAGGCGAUGAAGGACGUGCUAAUCUGCGAUAAGCGUCGGUAAGGUGAUAUGAACCGUUAUAACCGGCGAUUUCCGAAUGGGGAAACCCAGUGUGUUUCGACACACUAUCAUUAACUGAAUCCAUAGGUUAAUGAGGCGAACCGGGGGAACUGAAACAUCUAAGUACCCCGAGGAAAAGAAAUCAACCGAGAUUCCCCCAGUAGCGGCGAGCGAACGGGGAGGAGCCCAGAGCCUGAAUCAGUGUGUGUGUUAGUGGAAGCGUCUGGAAAGGCGCGCGAUACAGGGUGACAGCCCCGUACACAAAAAUGCACAUGCUGUGAGCUCGAUGAGUAGGGCGGGACACGUGGUAUCCUGUCUGAAUAUGGGGGGACCAUCCUCCAAGGCUAAAUACUCCUGACUGACCGAUAGUGAACCAGUACCGUGAGGGAAAGGCGAAAAGAACCCCGGCGAGGGGAGUGAAAAAGAACCUGAAACCGUGUACGUACAAGCAGUGGGAGCACGCUUAGGCGUGUGACUGCGUACCUUUUGUAUAAUGGGUCAGCGACUUAUAUUCUGUAGCAAGGUUAACCGAAUAGGGGAGCCGAAGGGAAACCGAGUCUUAACUGGGCGUUAAGUUGCAGGGUAUAGACCCGAAACCCGGUGAUCUAGCCAUGGGCAGGUUGAAGGUUGGGUAACACUAACUGGAGGACCGAACCGACUAAUGUUGAAAAAUUAGCGGAUGACUUGUGGCUGGGGGUGAAAGGCCAAUCAAACCGGGAGAUAGCUGGUUCUCCCCGAAAGCUAUUUAGGUAGCGCCUCGUGAAUUCAUCUCCGGGGGUAGAGCACUGUUUCGGCAAGGGGGUCAUCCCGACUUACCAACCCGAUGCAAACUGCGAAUACCGGAGAAUGUUAUCACGGGAGACACACGGCGGGUGCUAACGUCCGUCGUGAAGAGGGAAACAACCCAGACCGCCAGCUAAGGUCCCAAAGUCAUGGUUAAGUGGGAAACGAUGUGGGAAGGCCCAGACAGCCAGGAUGUUGGCUUAGAAGCAGCCAUCAUUUAAAGAAAGCGUAAUAGCUCACUGGUCGAGUCGGCCUGCGCGGAAGAUGUAACGGGGCUAAACCAUGCACCGAAGCUGCGGCAGCGACGCUUAUGCGUUGUUGGGUAGGGGAGCGUUCUGUAAGCCUGCGAAGGUGUGCUGUGAGGCAUGCUGGAGGUAUCAGAAGUGCGAAUGCUGACAUAAGUAACGAUAAAGCGGGUGAAAAGCCCGCUCGCCGGAAGACCAAGGGUUCCUGUCCAACGUUAAUCGGGGCAGGGUGAGUCGACCCCUAAGGCGAGGCCGAAAGGCGUAGUCGAUGGGAAACAGGUUAAUAUUCCUGUACUUGGUGUUACUGCGAAGGGGGGACGGAGAAGGCUAUGUUGGCCGGGCGACGGUUGUCCCGGUUUAAGCGUGUAGGCUGGUUUUCCAGGCAAAUCCGGAAAAUCAAGGCUGAGGCGUGAUGACGAGGCACUACGGUGCUGAAGCAACAAAUGCCCUGCUUCCAGGAAAAGCCUCUAAGCAUCAGGUAACAUCAAAUCGUACCCCAAACCGACACAGGUGGUCAGGUAGAGAAUACCAAGGCGCUUGAGAGAACUCGGGUGAAGGAACUAGGCAAAAUGGUGCCGUAACUUCGGGAGAAGGCACGCUGAUAUGUAGGUGAAGUCCCUCGCGGAUGGAGCUGAAAUCAGUCGAAGAUACCAGCUGGCUGCAACUGUUUAUUAAAAACACAGCACUGUGCAAACACGAAAGUGGACGUAUACGGUGUGACGCCUGCCCGGUGCCGGAAGGUUAAUUGAUGGGGUUAGCGCAAGCGAAGCUCUUGAUCGAAGCCCCGGUAAACGGCGGCCGUAACUAUAACGGUCCUAAGGUAGCGAAAUUCCUUGUCGGGUAAGUUCCGACCUGCACGAAUGGCGUAAUGAUGGCCAGGCUGUCUCCACCCGAGACUCAGUGAAAUUGAACUCGCUGUGAAGAUGCAGUGUACCCGCGGCAAGACGGAAAGACCCCGUGAACCUUUACUAUAGCUUGACACUGAACAUUGAGCCUUGAUGUGUAGGAUAGGUGGGAGGCUUUGAAGUGUGGACGCCAGUCUGCAUGGAGCCGACCUUGAAAUACCACCCUUUAAUGUUUGAUGUUCUAACGUGGACCCGUAAUCCGGGUUGCGGACAGUGUCUGGUGGGUAGUUUGACUGGGGCGGUCUCCUCCUAAAGAGUAACGGAGGAGCACGAAGGUUGGCUAAUCCUGGUCGGACAUCAGGAGGUUAGUGCAAUGGCAUAAGCCAGCUUGACUGCGAGCGUGACGGCGCGAGCAGGUGCGAAAGCAGGUCAUAGUGAUCCGGUGGUUCUGAAUGGAAGGGCCAUCGCUCAACGGAUAAAAGGUACUCCGGGGAUAACAGGCUGAUACCGCCCAAGAGUUCAUAUCGACGGCGGUGUUUGGCACCUCGAUGUCGGCUCAUCACAUCCUGGGGCUGAAGUAGGUCCCAAGGGUAUGGCUGUUCGCCAUUUAAAGUGGUACGCGAGCUGGGUUUAGAACGUCGUGAGACAGUUCGGUCCCUAUCUGCCGUGGGCGCUGGAGAACUGAGGGGGGCUGCUCCUAGUACGAGAGGACCGGAGUGGACGCAUCACUGGUGUUCGGGUUGUCAUGCCAAUGGCACUGCCCGGUAGCUAAAUGCGGAAGAGAUAAGUGCUGAAAGCAUCUAAGCACGAAACUUGCCCCGAGAUGAGUUCUCCCUGACCCUUUAAGGGUCCUGAAGGAACGUUGAAGACGACGACGUUGAUAGGCCGGGUGUGUAAGCGCAGCGAUGCGUUGAGCUAACCGGUACUAAUGAACCGUGAGGCUUAACCUUACAACGCCGAAGCUGUU